AAAGUAGAAGAGCGCUAAUUUCCGAUCACGUGGUCGAACAAUUCUCCCGAGGAAUAUUUUCAACCGGUCCUGAUGGGAGAAAGUCUGUUCCAUUGUUGGAGAAUUUUAAAGAUGACAAGGAUAAAAGAAGAGGAUCUGUUUAUCGAUCAGCAGUCAAACAUAUUUUCAAACCGAACUUUCCGACAAUUUAUUACAUCGAUCAGUCUUGGGAAUCUCGAGGAAUCAUAGCUUCAACCUGCUCGAAUGGAAAGUCGUCUGCAAAAUGUAUUCCCUCUCCUCGAUACAGUCCAUAUGCAAACGACGAUGCAGUUUGUUUGAAUCUGUUCUAUCCAAACAGCUGCACCGUGUACUCAUUGAAACUAUACACCCACGUAAAUGUAUGUAUGCAUACAGAAUCCCAGAGGUGCACGGUAGUAUGGAAUCGGUCGACUCUCUUAUCCAAGAAGGGAAAGGCAAAACACCGUGAGAGGAUACAUAUGUUCGGUGCAAGCGGCCGGUAAUCGAUCAUGGAAAUCCCGUAAAAAGUAGCAGGGAUGUCUGGCCCAUCGGUCUCCGAGUGUCAAACGAGAAUUAAUAGUUCGCCAGAGUAAUGUACAAUGUGUACCAGACCGGUUGGUACACGAUGAAUAAAGAUGAGGCCGAUGGACGAAUCGCUUCAUCGAUGUUGAAGAAACAAGGGAGAAAAAAAUGGAGAUCGUAGUAAUAGACGCGAAAGACGGAAAUAAACGCUUUGACGAGCGGUAGCCUCGGUUCCCUCUGUUAAAAAGAUUAAUGAGGAGAGAUCGUUUCCGGGACUUCAAUUUUAUUAAAGGAGGUUCAAAGGGAAUCCUUCGCGAUACAGUGUAUCCCUUCGCCCUGCAGAUUUAAAGUGGAAUGGAGAUGG